rnacentral:rRNA from 1 species
UACGUAGGGUGCGAGCGUUAAUCGGAAUACUGGCGUAAGCGUGCGCAGGCGGUUUGUAAGUCAGAUGUGAAAUCCCCGGGCUCAACCUGGGAACUGCGUUUGAAACUACAAGGCUAGAGUGUAGCAGAGGGGGGUAGAAUUCCACGUGUAGCAGUGAAAUGCGUAGAGAUGUGGAGGAAUACCAAUGGCGAAGGCAGCCCCCUGGGUUAACCACUGGACGCUACAUGC